CUGCGCGAGCCGGGCGCCUGAGAACGUUCCCCGCGGGGGCGGCUCCGGGGCCUGAGCGGGUGCCGCCGCCACCUCAGCCGCCGGGGCCGGGCCGGAGGACGCGGAGGAGGCUGCGGCCGCCCGAGACCUUCUCGACGUCCCCAGCUCCGGCCGGGAAGUGAGAGAGGCCUAAAGCAUUACAUAAACCGUAGCUCUAGGCAGAGACUGGCAGCAGUAUUUUGUAGCUUCCGUUCAGCUCCAGCUUCAUCCUUGGCUUUAAGCGAGAGAGAGACAGCAAGAGAGGGAACACAAGCAGAGGG